GUUCACGGAUAUCGCAAGAGUGUGCUAAAUCUACGUUAACAGCGAAACGAAAUAGCCAACAGCCUGCUACAGGAACAAUAGGAAAGAAAAUAAUGCCGCAUAAUACUCUCCUCUUCAACAGUAUAACAGUACAGCAGCGAUAGUGUAGUCAUACUAAAGAUCCUAGUAUUACCGUGUUAUCGUGGUUGUCAGUGCGACGUUGUCAUAUUGCAGCUGUGUGAAAAUAAUGUAAACCGUGUAUAACGUUGGGAAAUGGUUUGAUCUUUGACUAAAAGGAAAUCGGAAAUACUCUCCAAAUCUUCAGUUCCCUGCAGGUACCAACUUGUAGAUGUAAAAGGAUUUGGAACUGUCGACCGCAUUACUACCAAUUGCAGAAUCAUCAUUUUACAGAAAUAUCCAACAAUCGCAGGACCCACGUAAUCCGCUUAAAUUUCUCAUGAUUCUGGAAAAAGGCCAGCGCUUAGUCAGACAUAUUGGGACUGCCGAAACAUUAUCAGUGCUGCGAGAAAUAAUCUUCUAUGUUACUUUCAAGAAAUUAAUACGUAUAUGACUUUGAAGUUUCAUCAACGAAUAGUACAAUUUAGGGUUAAUAUCGACGGUAUAACUAUGGGAGGACUUUGCAAAUAACUAUUCGACCUAAGGACUUCCUCUCGAAUGCUACUGACUAGAAGGAACUCUCGCUCGUACAUUAUUCUUUUACGCUGUGGUUCGCACCCCGGCCGGAAGUUCCAUUCUCAAUUACAAUAAGAGCCAGAAAUCGAGAUUUCAUCAGGCUGAAAUAGUUGGGCAAACUUUUAAGAGGCAGCCAAUUGCUCAAGGGGAAGCCAUAUCUUCCGCAAGUGGCAGUUACGUGGUUUCCGCAUCAGGGCUGUAUUCGAUCCUCGUCAUUUCUUAUAAAAAGAAAACUUUGUCUAUCAUCCCUUACGUAAUUCCCGGCAGCACCCUACAGACGCUAUUUUCGUAGGGUAGACGUUGCCGCAGAACUUUAUAGGAUUGACUGACGUAGUCGCUGGAACAAUUAGGAUGAUUAAUACUUUGGCAAAUAUUUUUUAGUCUAUGAUUCUUUUAAAAUUAAUACGAAUUUUUCUCUUUCCCGUAGCCUCGUGCCAACCGAGAAAGUAUCCGGGAAGAAUGGGGUAUACUCUUCCACCGGGAGAAAAUCUCACCGCCCUCGGAAGGGACAGACCUCGUUUUCUCGACGUCUCGAUUUCACGCGGCCAUUCAUCAGAAAGUCGCGCGACUAAAGGCCGAUAAAUUUUCAGAGGUGACAUUUAUUCGGCACGAGCACCAUUCGUCGCUAUUUCAAGAAUAAAGCUUUGGGUUACCUGCGACUUUUAUGAACUCCGCCUCGUUUUUCCGGGCCUGGAAAAUACUUGAUGUCUCCAAGGCGGUUAAGUUGGCAGCAAGGUACAUCCUGGAAGAGUGACUGAGUGCCAACCUCGCCUUGGCAAUAUUCUUAAUAAGACACAGCGUCACCUUGAAACUUCACCUUCUCUCACGAUAAAAGGAAACCAGAAGGUGACAGCUGCAGAGAAAAGGAGCAAGAAAGUCACUGGUUUAAACCGGAAGUGGAUUCUGGGACGUCUAAGGCACUCCAGCUCAAUGCUUUUCAAAUGGAAACUAAAGUCACGUGACCAUACUCGAAUUAAUAGUGACAGUCGUGGCAACACAAGGAUACAAAAAAAUUCAAUUUAACUUUCUUCAAGAAGAUAAUCCCUAGGAUUUCAAGAGAGCUCAAAGUUAUUGCUAACAGGGUUAUCUAUCUUUCAAUCGAUGAAUACUCUCGUUGGAUAAUAGAAAUUGGUCCUUGAGAUAAAAAAUUGAUGAAGUAAGAUAUCCUUGAUCCUAGUAGCUUUUUCGAACAGCGAACUGAGGCAUAGAGUUUAUCUUUCUUCUUGGUAUUAUCCUGAAACCGAACCUAGCAUAGCAUUAAACAAUUGAAUUUCAUGUGACACUUUUAAUGAUAAACGAUAAUGCAUAUAGUUAUUUAAAUAAGUAAUACCUAUAAGGAAUGAUUUAUUAUUGCUAAAAUCUAGUGUCUUAUUGGAUUGAGAUAGCAGGAAGGAUGGAACUCGAGUGUCAUAAAUAUUAGGAUUUAUAUCAUCAGAGUAUCCCUCGUAGACUAUAUUGUUAUUAUUACGACCAUCGUUCCUGGUUCUAUAUGAAUGACUAUAUAUUGUCACUCGAUAUAAAUGACGGCUUUAUAUAUUUAUAUUUUGAAAAUUAAGGAAAUUCUUCGAAGAAGCAAAACAGUAAGAUUGAAUUGAAGUAAAACGAAAUGCCAUAUACCGUGAACGUUUAGAAUUCGACUCACGUACUCUUUGAUAAAUUGUUAAAUAAUCCAUUUCCAGGGUACAUUUUUCUCGUUCUUCUUGUAGCAAAAUGGCGGUUCUCGAGGAAUUGCUCCGGGAAUUGCUAAGCGAAGUGGCACGUAGAGGCGUGCUUCCUUUUUUCCCCUGAAAUCAUGAAUCCUAAGAGGACGGUUGUCAAUAGGCACAAAAUCUUGAAUCGGCAGGUUUAAUUUCUUUUUUUCUUUUUUGCCCCAAUUUUACAUGUCGAAAAUUCGUCCUGCUGACGUAACUUGGAUAUCCACUGCGAAUCGUGGAUGAUUCUCUUAUUUCGAUACUGCUAUUUCACUAUUUAAUCCCGGAGGAUUAAUUAGGAUUUUUCUUUGUGCUUCUGACUGCCAUCCGAGGCGUCCUUCAGUUUGACUUUGUAUUUGCAAAAAAGAAAUAAGCAUUGAAAGGAAGAAGUUAAACCGGAGAGAAGCUGGAUAUCUGAAAAAAUUCUUUUGGCGGAUGAAUUGAGAAAUUUUUUUUUUAAAUAUAGUUUGAUCUCGCUACAGAUUUCCAUCAUUCAAAUGCCAAGCUGCGAUCAGUUACCUUUUUUUACCUUUUUUAAAAGUAACCACGGCAUUUCAUACCGUGCUUUCCACUACAGUGAAUUAUUGACAGCUGUAUUUAUGGAUGUAAGAGCUUUUUUGAUUUUCGAUAACCGCACAACAUAUUUUUCAUAUAGUUCGCAGUUUAAAGAUGUCUGCAAGUACUCGAAGGUUCUUUCGCUUAAAGAGUCUCUUCGCGCUAACUUUUCUUAAAAUUUAUCAUCAGACACUGCCAGUGACGAUAUUAUCCUUGAAUCUUUCUCUUGUAUUAUUCUUCGUCUCGCUUGACUUCACUUUUAUCUUCGAUUUCUCAAGCAAUCGUACCCAGUCUGCGUUUCCAUUGAUUUCAUGAAAAUUUAUUCGGCAAAUUAGGCUACCGACGAAACUUCCGUAAAAUUCUGACAAUCAUAGAUAUUUAUAUAGGAGGACGCUAUAUUGUCUAAUGGGAAUAUUUCCCGAAUUUGGAUCUUUGGUUAGCUGUUUCUUAAAAGCUCAAUAAAUUCCUCGUUACAGCAAGAGCCACUUGCUCGAUAAGGCCUGUUAUCGUUAUCGCUAUCGUCAUCGUUAUCACCCUACAAUAAAUGUUGAAUUUAGCACAUAAUUAUACCAUUAGAAAUUUCCAAAAAAAAUUCCCCUUAACCCUGGUC